rnacentral:rRNA from 1 species
GACGAACCGUCCAAACGUUAUUCGGAAUCACUGGGCUUAAAGGGUGCGUAGGCGGCUCAGAAAGUAGGGUGUGAAAGCCCUCGGCUCAACCGAGGAAUUGCGCCCUAAACUACUGGGCUUGAGGAACGCAGAGGUAAGCGGAACUUACGGUGGAGCGGUGAAAUGCGUAGAUAUCGUAAGGAAGACCAGUGGCGAAGGCGAAUCUCUGGACAGUUACUGACGGCUGAGCACGAAGGCCAGGGGAGCAAACGGG